UAUAUUACUUUUAUGGCAACACGUGUACUACAAGUGUGAUAACAAUAUUCUUCCUCACUUUUCUCUUCUACGAAGUUCUUCACUUCUUCAAUGAAAGGACCGAAUGUCCACACUUUUCCUUUCUCUGUUCUACGACUCUCUCAGUUCGUUCUUCUCUGAGUUUUUCUUUCACCAUUCUCUCUGUUUGCGCUCUCCCGUGAUUUCUAUCUGCGAUAACAUUCCGUUCUAAUGGAUGUGUUGUUUCAGUUCCUAGGGUUUAGUUCUGCUCUAAUAUCGUUGUCAAUGGCAUUAGGAAAACUCGAAGAGCAUAGAGGAAGUCUAUGUCAGCAAAAUUUUCAAAGGUUGAUUAAAGAGAUUCAACGAAGGUAACUUCGAAGCUUGAGCCAUUUUCCCAUUAGGUAAGAGGUUCUUAAAGUCUUCUUUUAGUAAUGGCACCUCAAAAUCUGCCUUGUUAUGUUUAACUAAAUUAUUGUUAGCUGCUAUGUGAGCUCCUGGUUCCAUAUGGUUUGUCGAAAAGCUCAUUUGAUUUGGAAAGUUCGGAUAAAGGCUAACGUAUCCUCUUAACUACAUCAUGUCUAUCAAGAACUUCUUCCAUGAAGUUUGCCAUUCAUUAGUUCUUGAUUUUGGUGUCUGUAUGGAUUUUGCUUUGGAUCUUUCGUGAAUCUCAUGUUCAUGUAGACAUAGAACUCCUUCCAUUGGUUGGGGGAAAAACACUGCGCCCCAACUGCAAGGCAGCUGAUGAAGAUAUGAUGUGUUUAGAUGAAUGUGUUUGAAGAACUCAAUUGCAUUUCAUUUAGGCCUUUCUUUGACAACUUCCACCAAACGUGGCGUGUAAAGAGAGAUGGAGGAGAGCUCAGAGAGUGAUAUUUGAGGGUCAUAGUGGUAGCCCAAGAGAGCAUAUUUGAUCCAUAGGUAAUAGUAAGGGGAGACUUCGAUGUCAUCUUCGAAUACAAAUGCAGAUCACAAAAUGGUCAGAGACUUGUUCGAAGAUUUGCCUCUUCCGGCUGCCGCCAUCUUCCGCCAAUGGAGAUGUCGCCAGCACCACUACACCUCUUCCUCCCGCUCCUGCUCCUGCUCUAAAGAGUGCCCUUAAAACAUACUAAACCACAUGCAGAAUCACAAUCCGAAAGUAGGUUAAUUUUUCGUUGCCUAAUGAUCAAAUAGAGUGUUGAAUGAAUUGAGUUUAAGUUUCUAUGCUUCAAUUCUGGUUGUUUUGAGCCCUUUUCCCUUUUUAUUUUAAUAUACAUGCGUAGGAAAGGAACAUGGAAUUAGUUACUAUGAUUUUUCUUCUCCUAGACUAUUUUUUAAAGCUAGAAGAAUAUAUGUUGCCUCCUUUUGCUAAAACAUUGUGGAGAAUGUGGUUUCCUCCAAUUUUAUUCUAAAGUUUUUUUUACUUGAGAUGCUUCUUCCAUGCUAUCAUAUUUAGCACUUGCUUUACAUUCACAUGUAAUUGAAUUUUUUGAUCGAUUUGUGGUACUACCGCAAAAAAUCUCAAAUGAUAUUUGGGGUCUCUUCGUUGGUAAGUUUUACUUAGUUUUCUCUUGCUGACCAUCUAAAUCGUUGAUUCUACUUCUACUAGAGAUCAAUGGUGUAGAAUCUAUGCCUACUUGUGAAAUUAUUUUUUAUUUGUGCUCUACUUUUUGUUAUAAUUCAAUAUAUAAGAUUUGGAUAUUUAAGUGUAGUAUUUGUAUGUAUAUGCCUUUUGCUCUUUCUUCAUGUAUUAUUACAGCUUUCCAAAUGCAUGUAUGAUAUUUUGGCUUUAUGAGCUUGUGUUUAUGUAUGAUUUGUUUCAAACUUUCAUGUAUUUUUGUAAGCGUUAUCACCAUCUGAUUUUGUUGGAUAUGCUUUCGAU